CUUCCUGGCCUGCUAUGGUCUCCUGCCUUGACCUCUGUCCUUCCCAUCUAGCCUCCUGAUUUAUUCUUCCUCAGCCCACAUCUUCCAUCAGAGGAUCCCACGAAAACAGUGCCAAAGAGAAUUCAGAACUACGUCCACUGGUCCAGUAACCCAUGAUAAGAAAACUGAGGCUCAGAACGGGAAGUUCAUUGCUCAUCAUCAAACAUCCAGGAAAUGGUGGAGCCUGAAUGGGAACUCAGCUUCCAACAUGGCGUGGAUGUGGCCCAUCCCUUGGUGGCCUGGCUGGGUCUAUCUUAUGACAGUACGAGAUUGAAUGUUGGAGUGCCUUGCAGAAGAGAGAGAAAAUGUUGCUAAAACUUCAGGGGAAUGACUGGUCGAAAAUGUUUGACAUUCUUAAACUUGACAGGCCCAGAAACAGAAGGGGCUGGGGACCUGGGCUCCUGGGUCUGAGGGAGGAGGGGUUGGGGCGGGGGGUCUGGACUCUUGGGUCUGAGGAAGGAGGGGCUGGGGGGGAGCCUGGACUCCUGGGUCUGAGGGAGGAGGGGUUGGGGCGGGGGGUCUGGACUCCUGGGUCUGAGGAAGGAGGGGCUGGGGGGGAUCUGGACUCCUGGGCCUGAGGGAGGAGGGGCUGGGGGGAGUCUGGAUUCCUGGGUCUGAGGGAGGAGGGGCUGGCGGCGGGGAGCGGUCUGAACUCCUGGGUCUG
rnacentral:lncRNA from 1 species